AGCAGUGGCAGAAAGGAGAGGUAGGCUUGCAUUUGCUCAAGGAUAGAAAGAGAAGGAGGGACGAAAUCUGCAGAUUUCGCGGAUGCGAUGCGAUGCGACGGUGCUGGGAGAGAAGGCAAUGGUAAGGGAGAAGGAGAAGGGGAGGGAAGAGGGUGAGAGGUUCAGCAAAAGUUGAGGGAGAAAAUAGUUUGAGGGAGAGAUUGGUGAAGACAGAGGAGAAAGAAAAAAUUAAUUAUAAUAGAGAGAGUAGGGCUGUGGGGAGGUGAGGGGGCGGAUAGUGGAGAAGAGGAGAGGACAAGAGAAAGAGAGUUUG
rnacentral:lncRNA from 1 species